AAUACCCAGAUGCACCUCGGCCUUACAAGAUACCUGUGGGAACAAUUGGAGCCAUUCUUAUGUGUAUUCCUCCAACCAUAUUGAUUUUUGUUGUGUUAGCGCUUUCAACAUUCAAAGUAAUGGUUGUAAGCCUCAUUGCUGUGGCUAUUGGCCUUGUACUGCGGCCCUGUCUCAAGUUUGUCGAGAGAAAGAGGUGGAUGAAGUUCUCUGAAAGUGCUGAUCUGCCAGACCUUCAUAUUGCUAAUCCGGAGAGCAUUUAUUCCUUGGUAGAUUAACCAAGACUAGCCAGUGAUGAUAUCACAUGCUGGUGGUUAGAUGUCAAGACCAAAAACCCAUUUGCUGUAGCUUUUCUAUUUGGAAAGGCAAUUAUAAACAACCAUGCAGUAGCUGUGUUUUAUAAAUUUAUGGUCUUGUUAAAAUAUUAGGGGUAUCUUUGUGUUUUAUGAGCAUAAUGGUUUCCUUAAAUACUUGAGGAGCAUGUUUAUGUUUUGGAAACACAGUGGUGUUGUUAAAUGCUCAGGAUCAUUCUUACGUCUUAUUGAACCAAUUGAUCUUAUUAAAUGCAUAGGCAUAUGGGGCCAA
rnacentral:misc_RNA from 1 species